UGGGGAAUAUUGGACAAUGGGCGCAAGCCUGAUCCAGCCAUGCCGCGUGUGUGAAGAAGGCCUUCGGGUUGUAAAGCACUUUUGUCCGGAAAGAAAUCCUUGGCUCUAAUACAGUCGGGGGAUGACGGUACCGGAAGAAUAAGCACCGGCUAACUACGUGCCAGCAGCCGCGGUAAUACGUAGGGUGCAAGCGUUAAUCGGAAUUACUGGGCGUAAAGCGUGCGCAGGCGGUUUGCUAAGACCGAUGUGAAAUCCCCGGGCUCAACCUGGGAACUGCAUUGGUGACUGGCAGGCUAGAGUAUGGCAGAGGGGGGUAGAAUUCCACGUGUAGCAGUGAAAUGCGUAGAGAUGUGGAGGAAUACCGAUGGCGAAGGCAGCCCCCUGGGCCAAUACUGACGCUCAUGCACGAAAGCGUGGGGAGCAAACAGGAUUAGAUACCCUGGUAGUCCACGCCCUAAAACGAUGUCAACUAGUUGUUGGGGAUUCAUUUCCUUAGUAACGUAGCUAACGCGUGAAGUUUGACCGCCUGGGGAGUACGGUCGCAAGAUUAAAACUCAAAGGAAUUG
rnacentral:rRNA from 1 species